rnacentral:lncRNA from 1 species
UCCCGUCCAGUCUCUGACUGCCUUGUAUUUCCUUGGCGACUCUGAUACCAAGAGGCUAGGGCCAGAAGUGUUCAGACUCCUGCUGAUAGGAAACCGAUGCCACUUGCUGGACAAGAUGAACGAAAAUUCUUCUUGUAUAGGUCUUUUUGUGGACACGUGCAUUCAUUUCCCUUGAGGAAUACCAAGUACUGGAAUUGUUGGAUCAUAGGAUCGGCCCUUUCUUCAAAUAAGAGCAGUUGGAACAACAAAAGCUGUUCAGUUGUACCCUUGGAAUCCACGGAAAUCCUGGGUAGGGAAGCUCCAGUACCACCAACUGGAAAGACUGGGAAUGCCUAGUAGCUGGUACUGGCCAUUGUCGUAGGCUUUGUCCACUUUGACAAACUGAAGACGGGGACUCGACUCACCUUCGCCAGCCACAGGAGGACCUCCAGACGAGGACCGGACUCGCCGCCUUUCUUUCCCGUCAGAAAGGGAUCCCUUGCGGACAAGACCGAAGUGAGUAGCUGGUUUCCCCUACGUGUCCUUCCGGGGCUGGGUGUCUCGGGAGCUCAGGCUGACAGGAGACCUAACUACCGGCGACUGAGACCAGCAGGAGCCUGGAGGGGCGCGCACCAGGGUGGAGGUUUGGUGCCGGGGGUUGAGAACAACAGUCAAACCCUCUUCUUCCCUGUACCGCGCACCUGCCCCCUGGGAUGCCGAACGAAGUGGCCCCUAAGGCUUCUCUGCAGGUCCAACCGAAACAGGCCUGAAGUUCCAGGAUGGGCGAGAGGAUCCUCUUUGAGCGAAACCAGCCUUCUGCCUGGCUGGCCCUGGUCAACACACUCGGAAGAGGCCGAUUUGGAGGACAGAACGGAAGAAAAGACCUAAAGUAGAUGAUCCUCAUCCAAUCACUUAAAGGCCUGAAUAGAACCAAAAGUCUGACCUGCCCAUGAGUAAGAGAGAGCUCCUUCUGCCUGAUUGCUUCAGCUGAGAUAUCAGCCUUUUCCUGCCUUUGGAAUUGAACUGCAACACUGGCUCUUCCUGGGCCUCAAGCCUGCCAGCUUUUGAACUGUAAUCACACCAUCAUCUCUCCUGGUUCUCAGGCCUUUGGACUCAAAUCAGAAACACACCAUGGGCUCUCCUGUGUCUCAAGCUUGCCAACUGUGAUCUUGAGACUUCUCAGCCUCCAUAAUCACAUGAGUCAAUUGUUGGUUCUGUUUCUCUGGAGAACCCUAAUCCAUCACUUUACAUAUUUCUUCCAUUACACAUAUUGUUUCCCAGCAUAUUAAAUAAUUUACUGAUUAUAUUUUUGGUUUAUUAUUUAUUUCUCCUCCUGGAAUGUAAGUUUCACAGAGAUCUUGUUCAUUGCUAGAUCUCAAGCCUGGCAUCUAGUAGGC